rnacentral:rRNA from 1 species
GACGAACGCUGGCGGCGUGCUUAACACAUGCAAGUCGAACGGAAAGGCCCUGCUUUUGUGGGGUGCUCGAGUGGCGAACGGGUGAGUAACACGUGAGUAACCUGCCCUUGACUUUGGGAUAACUUCAGGAAGCUGGGGCUAAUACCGGAUAGGAGCUCCUGCUGCAUGGUGGGGGUUGGAAAGUUUCGGUGGUUGGGGAUGGACUCGCGGCUUAUUAGCUUGUUGGUGGGGUAGUGGCUUACCAAGGCUUUGACGGGUAGCCGGCCUGAGAGGGUGACCGGCCACAUUGGGACUGAGAUACGGCCCAGACUCCUACGGGAGGCAGCAGUGGGGAAUAUUGCACAAUGGGCGGAAGCCUGAUGCAGCAACGCCGCGUGCGGGAUGACGGCCUUCGGGUUGUAAACCGCUUUCGCCUGUGACGAAGCGUGAGUGACGGUAAUGGGUAAAGAAGCACCGGCUAACUACGUG